rnacentral:lncRNA from 1 species
GAAAUUAUAAAAGUGGUUUUAAUAAUUAUGUGUUGUUGUAAUAAUGAUUUAUUUAAAACAAAUUGUAACGAAAAAUAUUAAUUUUAAAUGGUUGAAAAGAUAUAAGGUGUCGAUUUUUAACUUUUGAGUUAUAAAAUGUUUGAAAUAGAAUACCAUUUCAGUGUAUUUAUGAAAUAAAUAUGUAAACAGGAAUUAAUAAUAAAAUUAUCAAAAUAUUAAAAGAAUGAAAAUUAUAUGUUUCAUAAAAUAAAAAAUUUUAGUUUGAAAAUAUAAAAAAA